rnacentral:lncRNA from 1 species
AUAAACCCCAAAGCAAUUCUAGGGUUUUGAAGACAGUCAACUCCAAUAUCGCCGAUCUGUAUAUCUUCGUUUUCUUUUUCUCAGAUUUGUCAAAUAAAGGUAAUUAAUUGUGCAGUUUCUGCUCGGGUUUUGCGUUUACGCAUUGUAAGUUACUUUGAUUCAUUGUAGAUUCGGUUUUUACCUCAAACUUCAAUGUGGCAAUAGCGAUGUUGUUAGCAUACGACUAAAAAAUUUGUCAUUUACAUCGUAGAAUUCCUUAAUAAUAUGGAUUUUAUUCAUUCAAAUGUCACCAACACAGCAAAUUGGUUUUUCAAUAUCUAAUUUGUGUCUGAAGGUGACGAUAUAGAUCAUAUCUUGAUAUGUUAUUUUCUUCGCUGUAGAUAAUAGUUUAUACUUUAUAUGCUAUCUAACCAUAGCGAGGAUGGAUGAUUAGGAUUUAUAUAUCGUUACUCUUAUAUACAUAAUUUUAAAGUUAUAAAAUUUUAUAUGUUUUUAAUGUAUCAUUGUAGGGUAUAUGUAACCUAUGUAUGCAAUGGUAUAUUGGUAUGUCAUCCUUAAAGCAAAUAGGCUAAUUCUAAUGCCAACUUUGUGUCGGAAGAUGACUAAAUCAACAAAGAUUGUAGGUUGUUUUACUAAUGAAGAGUUACACUCCAUUGGUAUGCUUGCACCUUUGACAUUGAUGUAUACAAAUUAAUUGUAGAGAACAUCUCUUUACAAGCACAAUAAUAUUAAUAAUUCAUUUGAAAGAUGUUCAACAUCAAAUUCAAAAUCAGGAAUGACUAAAACUCUAUUUAGUAAGCAGCAAUUUGCUGAGUUUUUAUAUUUGUAUUCAAGAAGCUGAAUAACAUAAAGUAAUCAAUUUUAUAAAACUGAAAAGGAAACAACAUCGUGGCAUUGACAUAUUGCGACAAUCACCAUCACCUGGAACCAAACACCCAGAUUCAAAAACACCUCUACCAAACUGUUUAGGAAAACGCCUUUACAAGUGUAAAUCUUUUAAAUCUGUUUGGGCAAAUAUUAUUAACAUUAGACCAAAGUUCCAAAUUUUAACAUCAUGGGUAAUUUGAGAAAUUUUUGAUGUUUAGUUUUAGUUUGAACCUGACAAAGGUUUUUAUUUUUUUGUAAUUUUCAUUUCAGCAAAGCUCACUCAAACAACUGUCAUUUCAACUAUUUUAUUUUCAAAAAGCUUUUUAACCAAAUCCCUUUCAACCAAUCCCUUCUAAACAAAAAAUUGUUCAAUGAUCCUUCAAAAGAUGUAGGUAUCGUUAAAGAAUACUAAACUGUCCGGACAACUAUUGAAUACCUUAAGGAACAAAAAGGGGCAAUAAAAACCAUGGCGCAAAAGUAGCUAAAUUAGCCAAUGGAUGUUCUUGGAUGUCUAUCAAGACUGAUAAUGUUGCUGUGAUAAUCUGAAAACAUGGUGGUUUUUAGAAAUGGGUUUUGGGUUAUUUCCAUGUGGAAAUUUAUAGGAUAAAUUUGUUCACCGGAAAAAGAAUAAUGAUUUUUAAGGGUAAAUAUAUUUUAGGUUUUAUUAAUGUUCUUUAAGUUAUUUUUUGUCCAUAUAUUAUUGUUUAACUUAUUUGAUCUGAUCAUGUUAUGUAUUUAUUAUGACUUGGUGGUGUAUGUUUUAGCUAUAGCUAUAAGGAUAUAAUUUGAACAAAUCAAACAAGUUUAAGAAUAAUAUAUGGAUAAAACAUCAUGAGUGACUAAGGGGGUGUUUGGAUUAGCUUUUUAGUUUAUUGUUUAUAGUUUAUUUGUGGUGGGAAUAAACAAACACUCAAAUUAGCUUGUUGUGGAAAUAAACA